rnacentral:tRNA from 1 species
AAGAAUGUGACAGAGAGGUAUGUGGUUGUCUUGAAUUCAACGUACGGGGGUUCAAUUCCACCUGUUCUUG